UGUGAAAACAGGGAAAAUGGUAGUUCACUCUUCAUACUUUCGUGGUUCUCUGUAUUAAAAGUUAGAACUCCAGUCUGCUUAUAGCUAGUAAAACCUUUACUCAGUAAGCUGCUGAGUUUGCUAUGUAGAAACAAGAGUACUGCUUUCCAGAGGUUCAGUUUUGUAUUCUGACGAAGUUCUAUUUAGUGUUUCUUCUGAAAUCCAGUUCAAGGUCAUGACCAUGUGUUUUCCAGAGGUUUAGUUUUGUAUUCUUCUGAAGUUAUGUCCAAUGUUUGUUCUGAAAUUCAGUUCAAGGUCAUGACCAUAACACUCUUUUGAAUAUUUAUUAAUUUAGAUUCAAAGUCUUGUCCUUUCGGAUGCAACCAAUGUGCCAUGCCAUGGAAGCAAGUAAGCAUUAAGUGUGAACUCCCUAUUUGGCCAAGAUCAUGAGACUACAUUUGUGAAACCUCUCUUGCGACUCCUCCAACGAGCUCUAUUGGCAUACUUGCAUGCAACUAUAGCGGAUGUUAACUCUAGAUUCAAUCUCCAUAUUUGGAACACAUGUCCAUGGCAUGUCCCUUUUGAGACAUUUGAUUAUCUAAUCUUACUGCAUAUAUGCAAGUAAACAAUUCGAAUAUUAUAGUUACACUUAUUUGUUUUAAUAUAGUGAAUGAUAAUAUUUAUCUUUAUGAUUGAUGCAACACAGCUACAAUAUUCAGAUAUGUUAAUGUUUUCUUUCAGUAGUUCGUCUAAUAUGUUCGCUUCUAUUUUGUGUGGAGUUAGAUUCAUAUAUCUUCAGAAGUUCAGUUUUCCUAUUUCACGUAUUGCCUUGGUUAUUUGACUAUCUAGUUCUUCAUAGUAAGUUGGAUUUUAUUGGCACUUUUUAAAAGCAUAAUGACUUACAGUCUAACAUUGUUGAAAAAGUUGUUCUAUGCUUAUUAAUUAUUGGUAGGUUUACCAUGACCAGGAUGCCAUCUCUAUCUAGUGAUUGUGAUACAGUUCACAUCUGACACUUGUGCAGUUCACAUCUGAACCUGUAUGGGGAUGGGUUCUGAACUGCAAGAGGAUGCAUGCUCGUGAUGGCGUCGCCGUCUCAGAGUAACGUAGGAUCACAGUGAGUUCAUUAGGUGUAAAAGUUCAUUUUAUUCAUCCAUGAAACAAACUAAAGUCAUUAUUUGUUUCAUAGAUGAAAGUGCAUUAUAUAUAGAUUGAGAAAUUUCAUUUUAUUCAUCUAUGAAACAAACUUAAGGAUCACGUGAGUUCAUUAGGUCUAAAAGUGAAGUUCACUUUGCAAAUAAAAUGAAGUUCGCUAGGCAUAAAAACUGAAGUUUGUUUCAGAAAUUGUAAAAAUAAUUCAGUAUAAUAGAAUCCUUGCUUGCUUCCACUCUGAAUUAUUUUAUAUUUCAGUCCGAGGUCAACACAGUAGCAUUUGUUGAUGAAAAUGGAAAUCUCAUUUAUUCUGGAAGCGGUGAUAAUCUGUGCAAAAUAGCUCGCUCUUACAAACUAUUAUUAUGCUAGACAAUAUAUAUAUAACCGAAUUUCAUUUAGAUUUAUUCACCAUUUGAAACAUAUGAAGUGUGAAGUAUUUUUAUGUUGCAACCUCCAAUUUAUGAAAGACAGUAAACGCUGAUUCUGGAUGAUUUUUUGUCAAGUAGAGUGGCAGUUGACUUGUUAUGAUUCCUGACAAAAAAAAAGGAAGUUCGAAAUAUCAGGAAACGGAUGAUGCCUUAGCUAAUUUUCUGUAGCAUUUAUCAACCUUUUUUUGGUAGCUGAAAGAUAUGCAUUUUACAGGUGCAUAAAUAACAUUAGAUGGUUCAGUAGCUAUGCCAAUAUCCUAACUUAUCGAGUUUGUUCCUUUAGUAUAGUUCAUUACCUAUAGACAACCAUUUUUUAUGCAAAAUAACUGCUGCUAGUUCAUGCGUGUACUCAUGGCAGCGCCACCAUGAACUCCGGUUCUCCCGCAUAGCCACAGCCGACACGGGACAAGCGCCGCCACAGGAGUUCACAUGCCCCGCUGUGGUAGUUCACGCCGCUCUCCGCAGCGAGCAUGUGAAGUUCUAUCUUCAGAUUCCAAUGUGAUAUUGUUCUACAGCUCUAACUGCAAGUAGAGCACCACAAGAGUUCAUUGUGCCUCCCUCGGCAGUCCGUUGUGCGUAGCCGGGAAGUCCACACGCGCAUACCCUGACAGUCCUGUGCGUGCCGCCGGGGAGUAAAACUACAGUACGCCGAUGUUUAGCCGCUAAUUCACAUGCAUGUCCUCUGAACCGUCGAUUCUUAGUUCUGCAAUUAAUACUUGUCUUAGCUUGUUUUGGGGCGAUGUAUUGCAAAUUGCAGGGAUAAAAAUAGGUUAAUGGCUUGCUGUGAUUUCUCCACUCUAGCUUAUAAAGGUGCACGACACCUACUCUGUGGCACACAGUUGGUCGUGAAGUUCAGACAAAUAGAGUCGUGGAGUUCAGAAAGAGACCAGCAUGUGUGAAGUUUAGAGACAUGCCUCGGCAGAGUUAUUCUGAAUUGUAAUCUGUAGUCAUUGAAUAUCUGGUAGCAUCUCAAGUUCAGAAACUACAGUUGUUUACAUUUUUAUCUUGUAUAUGUUCACUUCGUCUCCAAGAGGAAAUUCACUCCGCCUGUAGUUUUUUUUUGGUUGUACAAUUCUACCAAAGUGGAAGUUAAUAUAUUUAUGCGUUGUACA